rnacentral:rRNA from 1 species
GAUGAACGCUGGCGGCGUGCCUAAUACAUGCAAGUCGAGCGAACAGACGAGGAGCUUGCUCCUCUGACGUUAGCGGCGGACGGGCGAGUAACACGUGGAUAACCUACCUAUAAGACUGGGAUAACUUCGGGAAACCGGAGCUAAUACCGGAUAACAUGUUGAACCGCAUGGUUCAACAGUGAAAGACGGUUUUGCUGUCACUUAUAGAUGGAUCCGCGCCGCAUUAGCUAGUUGGUAAGGUAACGGCUUACCAAGGCAACGAUGCGUAGCCGACCUGAGAGGGUGAUCGGCCACACUGGAACUGAGACACGGUCCAGACUCCUACGGGAGGCAGCAGUAGGGAAUCUUCCGCAAUGGGCGAAAGCCUGACGGAGCAACGCCGCGUGAGUGAAGAAGGUCUUCGGAUCGUAAAACUCUGUUAUUAGGGAAGAACAAAUGUGUAAGUAACUAUGCACGUCUUGACGGUACCUAAGCAGAAAGCCACGGCUAACUACGU